GAGGACAGACCAGUGGGCGGCGCAGCCAGGGAGGGAUCCAUGAAUUCUAGAAAGAGAGUUCAUGCUGUGAAGACUGUGCAUCGAUGACUUCCAUGACCUUCUCCCCAAAUCUGAAUCGAAACGAACUGGCACAUGACUUAAAAAAACACAGCCAACGAGUUGUACCAAAAUUUUCUAAUUUAAAUUAGGGCAUUGCCCAAAAGUGCUUGUGACUCAUCUUGAGGGAGAGUCCCGUGGCUAGCCCCAUGCUAAGAACGGUCCAUAAAGGCCUCCAUGAAAUGGUAAAGGACAGCAUAUUCCCUUGGCUGGGGAGAUAUGACUAAUCCUAUUCUUAUCAUUUUUGUUAGUAGUAGAAAUCUUAAAAUAAUAAAUGCAUUGAAGACAGCACAAUUACAUUGUCUCAGUGCUGGUUCGGUGCGAGGCCCAGUGCUGAGCGGUGAGGACCUGGAAUCCCAGCCCUGGGCGAGCUCAGGGCACCUUCCAUAGGGGCACAGCGAUGGGACAGAGCCAAAUGCCACCAUGGACUUUUCUAAACUACGCACACAGACUACUCUCUACAUCGGAAAAUGCCCCCCAAAAUAUUCUAUCUAUAGGAAAAGAAUAUGAAUCAACUCAGUGAAUGCCCAAGACAGACCCGUCCAAACUUCUGAAUCACUUUGUAGGAGCACAGAUGUUCCCAAAGGCACAGGGGCUCUAGGGGGCUGUCCAGGGGCCUCCACAGACACCCUCUCUGCACCGAUGCUCUGUGACCUUCUGGAGGAGGAAAGACAGCCUUGGAGGGAGGACAAGAAGGGGCCUCUGGUACCCACUGCUCCUACCCCGCAUCCUCUGCAGGAGGAAGGACUCGACUGAUUGUCAUUUGGACAAUGAGACACCUUAUUCCCCCGUAGCCUCCAGAUGGGAUCCCGUUCUACAUUUACUCUUUGCAUUCCUGGUCAUGACAUUUAGACUGUUCAAGCCCCUGGUUCUUUAUUUAUAAAGUGGAAUAAUUAUUCUUAUCUUUCAAUGCAAUUAUAAGAAUGAGAGAUUAUAUAUACAGUACUCAGGUCAUAGGCUCCUAGUAAAGGCAGCCGUAAUUACAAAAAGCUCUUUCCGUGGUGGACCAGGCCCAGCAUUCCCUCUCUGGUCCCAUUUCCUCCCUGCCCGCUCUGCUGCUCCCUGACCACAGCAGGCACUCACCUGCCCCUGGACCUUUGUUUGUGCUGUUCUCUGCCUCCACUGCUCUCUGUCCUGGCUCGUUCCCUCACCUCUUGGAGCGGCCUUCCCCAACCACGCGUCCCCUGCUGGGUGUCUGUCUGUGGCAGGGAACUGUGUUCAGAUACACUGCAGGUGCAUCUACCGUCUCCUCCACGAGGACGCAGCUCCAGCAGGGCAGGGUUUUGCUCCACUUUGCUCCUGUGGGAUUCUCAGCAUUGGGGAACAGCCUCUGGCUCUGAGUGGGCACUGAGUAACUGAGAGGCUGAAUGUCCUAGCUUAUUCUCACACGACAAAACCUGGGGAGCUAUUUUGGAAAGAUGCCCAGCUGCCAUAAUAGGAGACAAACUAUAAACAACCAACCAAUCAAAAACACACCAACAACAAGGUCUGAAGGUGGAGAUGCCGGGGCCCUCGGCCACUUGCAGGGCCUCCUCCUCAGACAUCAAAGCAAUCUGUCCCAAGUGGGUACACAGCCCACCACCAGCCCGGCCUCUGCGACAGCCGAUGCUCCUCAUGCUCCCGCUGGCGCCACAAAACAAGACUGGAGAAGUACCUGAGGUCACCCGAUGUCCAUCGGGCAGGCAGCGAGGCCAGAGGCCCGAGGGAAGUCUGAAUAUCGCCCGUCUGGCCACAGGGGCCAGGACUGGGGGUACAACAGUGAGCGAGGCAGAGCCCUGGCAUACAGCGGGCACAUACCAACCACACCGCAUCUUCCUGUCUCCUCCUUCCAUGUGUGAGACUGGCCUUCCCUGGUCAGACCCACACAGCUGCAGGGGCAGGCCGGGAGCACACCUGCCUCUAAAGCGCGCACGUAGAAAAGGGCCACCUUGCUCAACCGUGGCUGGUGAUUUGUUUUCUGAGACCCCUGUGAACACCGCAGCAAGAACAAGGAAAAGAGCCACGAUCCAGAACGAAACAUCUGGGGGUCUUGGGGCAUGGGGUCACUGCAUGGCCAACGGCCGAUCCUUCCACAAAAAACAAAACAGGAGCCCCACCCCCAGUGUGUGAAGCCCCCAAGGUUCCGGUCAAUUCUUAAGGACUCCCUGAUUUCAGUGAUGGCAGAGUGCCCCUUAUGACAUCGCCUGGGUUUGGAAAGGUGAUGCAGAAAGGAAUUUUCAGAGAACUGAUGUAGUCCAAAUUCCGGUCUGAGGUCCCCAGUGAGGCUGUGGCUGGGGUCCCACUGUGGCCACCGGCCCCCAGCAGGGAGGGUGAGCCCCCUCGGCUGAAGGAGGCUGGGGCUGCAAAGCUCUGCGCCCUCUGGAAUUCAGAGUGCUGUCAAAGAUGCCUCUGCUGUGGGGUGGGUGUGGGGGCAAGGACGGAGAAUUCUAGAAGGUCUGCGCAAAAAAACAACUUUGCAUUUCCAACCAGCUAACAGCACCCUCCCUGCAAGUCUUCCACGGAGAACAACAGAAAAGUCCUCUCCAGGAGAGCACGAGAGCUUUCUCCGCUCUCACCCCGGCUGCCAGCAUUAAGGGAGCUGGACAGGAGCACUGUGCAGAGGCCCCACUAUGUGCUGGGGUCGGACCAGCCUGGGGAACUGGGAGAGGAGCAGGAGGUGGAGGGGCGGCGGGGACAUUCCCCACACAGCUGACGGGUCAACAGAGGCAGAAAGGUGGAGCAGGACUGGAGGAAGGGCACGUCAGGUGUGCCGCUCACAGGUGAGCCGGGGAGGCUGUGUUCUCAGAGGAACAGAGGAUGCCAGCAACUGCUCAGAGGAAGACAGGGGAUGCCUGGACGGGCCCUCGCCUGCCGUCGGGCUGCCGUCCUAAAGACCAAGGCUCUUCUAAGCCCCUGCUCUGUGCCAGGACCCUCCCAGCUCCAGGAAUGCACCUCGAUUCAGGCCCAAAGCAAUGCUGGGAAGCAGGGAGCGGAAAGCCCAUUUUACAGAGGAGAAGACAGAGGUUCAGAGAGGUGGUGCUAAUAUUUAAGACCAAAAGCCGACUGAACAGAUCAUCUGGAAUUCAGACCUACCUGGUCCCACUCCCAAGUCCACGCUCUCUGUUCUUUUAAAACGCUGGGAUUCUAAACCUGACCCACCACAUUCAUGUGAAAUUACAAUUUAAUUUUGGAAA